rnacentral:rRNA from 1 species
AUUGAACGCUGGCGGCAGGCUUAACACAUGCAAGUCGAACGAGUGGCGGACGGGUGAGUAAUGCUUGGGAAUCUAGCUUAUGGAGGGGGAUAACUACGGGAAACUGUAGCUAAUACCGCGUACCAUAGGAUGAGCCCAUGUUGGCUUAGGUCGUUGGUGAGGUAAAGGCUCACCAAGCCGACGAUCCCUAGCUGGUCUGAGAGGAUGACCAGCCAACAUGGGACGUUGACACGGCCCAGAAUCCUACGGGAGGCAGCAUGGGGGAAUAUUGCACAAUGGGCGCAAGCCUGAUGCAGCCAUGCCGCGUGUAUGAAGAAGGCCUUAGGGUUGUAAAGUACUUUCAGCGGGGAGGCGUUACUCGCAGAAGAAGCACCGGCUAACUCCGUGCCAGCAGCCGCGGUAAUUC